rnacentral:rRNA from 1 species
AGUGAACGCUGGCGGUAGGCCUAACACAUGCAAGUCGAACGGCAGCACAGUAAGAGCUUGCUCUUACGGGUGGCGAGUGGCGGACGGGUGAGGAAUACAUCGGAAUCUACUUUUUCGUGGGGGAUAACGUAGGGAAACUUACGCUAAUACCGCAUACGACCUACGGGUGGAAGCAGGGGAUCUUCGGACCUUGCGCGAUUGAAUGAGCCGAUGUCGGAUUAGCUAGUUGGCGGGGUAAAGGCCCACCAAGGCGACGAUCCGUAGCUGGUCUGAGAGGAUGAUCAGCCACACUGGAACUGAGACACGGUCCAGACUCCUACGGGAGGCAGCAGUGGGGAAUAUUGGACAAUGGGCGCAAGCCUGAUCCAGCCAUACCGCGUGGGUGAAGAAGGCCUUCGGGUUGUAAAGCCCUUUUGUUGGGAAAGAAAAGCAGCGGGUUAAUACCCCGCUGUUCUGACGGUACCCAAAGAAUAAGCACCGGCUAACUUCGUG